CAAAUACCGAACCUUGAUGAACCACAGCAGCUCCUCCAGCACUCCCUUCCAGAACACCCUCUUCGUUGUGAGCAGUGGAAACUGAUCUGGAAAAGAGUUCCACAGUGUCAGCGGGGACCAGCCAUUUGCCAGGGGUAUUAAUCUCUGCUAGUCAGAAGAAACUGAUUCUUCUCUGAAUAUUUCUUCGUUAGUAUCUCUUGGAAGUCAAGAAUUUCGUAAGAGUCACUUAUCUCUGAGAUAAACCCCAGCUUUCUGACAAGUGAUGUGUUUACAGGAGUUAUGACGGAUAAUCUCUCAUGAUUAGGGGCCUGAAAUGCAGGUAUGUAUGAUGGAAGCUAAGGAGCACAGAGGACUGUGGAUUAGAAAAUGCUACUACCUUUCUUUGCAGCAGGCAGAAAAUAGUCUUUUCCACUAAUUAAAAGAAUGGAAUAGCUUUUUUUCUUGUAUAGAUUUGUACACUUAACAUGUAGGUAUAGAAGUAAAGGAAAACAUAAAGUGUAAAUAGAGUGUGGGUAUUUUUCUCUGCUUAUAUCUGAUAAAGAUGUUUUUGUACACUUUGAAAUUAGCAUGCUUCAUUUAGCAGAGCUACAGAUGGAAAUGGUGCAAAUACCUGUGUGCAAAAAAAUGCUUAGAAAAGCUUUGCAUGGCAAAUGAUACCAAAUCACCUAGAGCUCUGCUUCUAGCUGAGAGAUAUAUCAGUUCUUAACCUUUAUUAUAAUUUACAAAUACCACUGAAAGCUGAUGUGUAUAAUUUAGGAAGAAACAAGCUUCUUUACUGAUAAAGGCUUUUAAUUAAUUAAGAAGUAAACUCCAGAGGCAGGCUACUGUUUGUAAGAAAUGCCAAAGGCAGAAGACUUACUCAUUAAUGCAUAUUCAGAUAAGUCAUUUAAUGUACACAAUAAGCAUCAAAAGCAACUGGAAGAAAAAUG